GCUGGCGGCGUGCCUAAUACAUGCAAGUCGAGCGAACGGACGAGAAGCUUGCUUCUCUGAUGUUAGCGGCGGACGGGUGAGUAACACGUGGAUAACCUACCUAUAAGACUGGGAUAACUUCGGGAAACCGGAGCUAAUACCGGAUAAUAUUUUGAACCGCAUGGUUCAAAAGUGAAAGACGGUCUUGCUGUCACUUAUAGAUGGAUCCGCGCUGCAUUAGCUAGUUGGUAAGGUAACGGCUUACCAAGGCAACGAUGCAUAGCCGACCUGAGAGGGUGAUCGGCCACACUGGAACUGAGACACGGUCCAGACUCCUACGGGAGGCAGCAGUAGGGAAUCUUCCGCAAUGGGCGAAAGCCUGACGGAGCAACGCCGCGUGAGUGAUGAAGGUCUUCGGAUCGUAAAACUCUGUUAUUAGGGAAGAACAUAUGUGUAAGUAACUGUGCACAUCUUGACGGUACCUAAUCAGAAAGCCACGGCUAACUACGUGCCAGCAGCCGCGGUAAUACGUAGGUGGCAAGCGUUAUCCGGAAUUAUUGGGCGUAAAGCGCGCGUAGGCGGUUUUUUAAGUCUGAUGUGAAAGCCCACGGCUCAACCGUGGAGGGUCAUUGGAAACUGGAAAACUUGAGUGCAGAAGAGGAAAGUGGAAUUCCAUGUGUAGCGGUGAAAUGCGCAGAGAUAUGGAGGAACACCAGUGGCGAAGGCGACUUUCUGGUCUGUAACUGACGCUGAUGUGCGAAAGCGUGGGGAUCAAACAGGAUUAGAUACCCUGGUAGUCCACGCCGUAAACGAUGAGUGCUAAGUGUUAGGGGGUUUCCGCCCCUUAGUGCUGCAGCUAACGCAUUAAGCACUCCGCCUGGGGAGUACGACCGCAAGGUUGAAACUCAAAGGAAUUGACGGGGACCCGCACAAGCGGUGGAGCAUGUGGUUUAAUUCGAAGCAACGCGAAGAACCUUACCAAAUCUUGACAUCCUUUGACAACUCUAGAGAUAGAGCCUUCCCCUUCGGGGGACAAAGUGACAGGUGGUGCAUGGUUGUCGUCAGCUCGUGUCGUGAGAUGUUGGGUUAAGUCCCGCAACGAGCGCAACCCUUAAGCUUAGUUGCCAUCAUUAAGUUGGGCACUCUAAGUUGACUGCCGGUGACAAACCGGAGGAAGGUGGGGAUGACGUCAAAUCAUCAUGCCCCUUAUGAUUUGGGCUACACACGUGCUACAAUGGACAAUACAAAGGGCAGCGAAACCGCGAGGUCAAGCAAAUCCCAUAAAGUUGUUCUCAGUUCGGAUUGUAGUCUGCAACUCGACUACAUGAAGCUGGAAUCGCUAGUAAUCGUAGAUCAGCAUGCUACGGUGAAUACGUUCCCGGGUCUUGUACACACCGCCCGUCACACCACGAGAGUUUGUAACACCCGAAGCCGGUGGAGUAACCUUUUAGGAGCUAGCCGUCGAAGGUGGGACAAAUGAUUGGGG
rnacentral:rRNA from 1 species